rnacentral:lncRNA from 1 species
GGAAUGUCAGGAACCCCUACAAAGAUACACCGAGAAUGUCCGAGAAAAUUAAGAAACCCCCCAAGGGACGGGCCGCGGCGUCGUAUCGCACCCCAAAAAACGCACAGCGGCACGGGUCCGGGUCCGGUCCCGGCCGCCCUCCCGUCCGAAAGAACCAUCGGCGUGGUCUGGGGUGACGCCCAAGGGGCACGUCGGUCAUCGCGGUACGCGGCUACCAUGAACAUGUGGGGGAGGAGCUGACCGGAAAAGCGACGAUUAUAUUUAACGGCAAGGGGAUGGAGAGGGACCGCAUAAAACAAGUGCCAUGUCGUAAACAAGCGGCUAGCGGAGAGGGGAGGAGCAGAGUCUGGCCUAGAUGCACCGUCGAGAUCACAGCACAGGGGAAGGAAGGAAGUGGCCCGUCGGACGGCCUAAGGGUCGGGUUAGUCGCCGGUGAUGCACGGGCCGGGCACGAGAGGGGAGACGUGCCGCUGCGUCUUUCCUUCCCCCUCGGGCUUGACCGGACCGGACCGGAACGAGAUUGGCACAAGGCUGGCCUACAUCUGCAUGUGUUUGUUAUAAGGUCAGCUGUGUGUCAGUUCGUUCGUUCGUUCGUUGGGCAGCUGUGUGUCAGUUCGUUGGCGCUUAACACCUGAUGAGAUCCGCGGAUUCAGAUGGUUAGGUUUCUUGUUAUGAAAUCACCUUAUCAGUGUUUAAAAUUCUAGACUUGACACUCAUGCUUGUAUCUUUUUUAUAAAAAAAAUUACUACAGCCUUUCAAGGGGUGUUUAUUUAAUGAAAGAAAACAUUU